CUAUGAUACAAAAGUGUGCAAAACUUAAUACAUUCAAGUUACAAAACUUCAUAAAAACCCAAGAAUCCUCAGAAUAUUAAGUAAUUGGCAAGAGCUUUAUUUGCACAAUGAGAAGUAAAGGAUUGUGGGUUACCCACUCACCUUGCACGGAAGGCAGUCACAAAACCCGUCAUUUAUGACUGGAUACAGUCAGAGUACCCUCUUCAACCUAAAACUGGCAACAGCACAGAGAGAAGGUGGCUUACAUAGAGACGCGAGAAGUAAUUCAUGUAGGACAUCUUUAAACCUGCCCAAUCUUACUGCUUUGCAGUAAUGG